UCCGCGUGGAUUAUAAGGUUUCAUCUAUCUCCUGUAACAGCAUGAUUUUAGUAGAUGUGUUCUCCGGAUAAGUUGGUUCUUCAGUUAGUGAUAUCUUCUGCUCACAUAAUUUUGAAGACCUGACCUUCGGGCAUUCAGCCUCUAUGUAAAUGAAAGCCUUAGA